UGGGAUUUCACACAUUUUUAUUUUUGAGGGUGGCAUUGAACUAAUUUUAACACAAUUAAGUAAUUGUUGUUGACUUAAACUUUAUUAAGUUCUCAUUUGUAACACAAAUUACUGCAUUUUGCUUGGUGACCAGUAAGUGAAUGUGAACCUGCCAGUUGACGUCGUUGUCUUUGCAUAUGGCACAGAGAGGACGUAACGAGUUCGCACCUGCUGUACUCAAUGAAACGUGUUCAACUAUAAGCAGCUUCAAUUAGCGGAGAAGCUACGGAGGACCGCUGCUGUGUGUCUUUUUCAUGCAUUUGUCGACGUUGUUGUCUUGCAUACGAGGAUUUCCACCUGACAUCCUACAUGACCUGUUUGAAGGUGUGGUUCCUGUGGAGUUGGCGCAUUGUUUGAAAGGUCUCCCCAACACUUUGUAAAUGGAAACGACUGAUGUCCUGAAAUUAAGGGUCAUCCUCGAUGACGUCAAUGCAGAGAGGCUUAUUUUGCCCUCUCGUCCUGAGACUGUAAAUGCCCUCAUAUUUGAGGUGAAAAAUAAUUUGAAUCUGGACUAUGACUUUCGCCUUCAGUUUCAAUACCCGGAGUUUGACAAUGCCCUGUGUAAUUUAGUUAACAUGGAGGACCUGCUAUCCAAGGCAACAAUUAAGAUGGUUCGAUCUGUUGAGUCAGAUCUGAGUUCGACCAGCACAGAUGACACAGUGUUGAUGUCUGAUAACACUGAUUCACCAGAGCGUCUUUGCCGAUGGCCAGAGAUCUUUGUUGUUCCAACAUUCUCCUACGAGGUGGAGUAUGCGCUAAGAGAGGGCAACUCUGCAUUUGUGAAAAAGGGAAAAACUGUCAGGUUGACCAGGGAUCAAAAACACAACAUACUAGAUGUGAUGGCUGGUGAAAUAUAUAAGCAUAAAGCUUAUCCUAGCACCAAACAGAUUAGCAAGGCUGCUGAGGCUCUGGUUAGCAAACACCCCUGCCUGAAAGAAAACUGAUCCGGAACCGGGUAUGAGGGUUGGAAGAACAGCCUGUGCUUCAAGAUGGGCAACUACAGGACCAUACUGAGCAGAGCUGGCAUAAAGGAUGUAGCUGUGAAUGCAGGAAAGUUAUAGUUAUAGUAUAAAGUUAUGUUGUUAUAGGUCAGCAUGUUUUGUUUUAGCUUGCAAGCCUAAAAUAGUUAAACAAGUGAGAAACUUCGGGGCAUUUUACGCUGAUAAUAAUUUGCGUACAGUGAACUAAUGACCCCUCAGUUCUUUUCAAUUUUGAUUUUGUCUUUAAACAGAUACUGUGCAUCACUGAACAAGGAUUGUUGAUUCUAGUUCUAUUCUAGUUAGUUUGAUUGCAUAGUUUUUUCUACAAUAUGUUUGUGUAUUAUGUGAGUUAUUCACACUUUCCGCAUGUUUCAUUGUACACAUAAAUGUGAAUGAUAUUUAUUCACCAGCUUCAUUUUGUAACAUUAUGGACACUGUUACUCAGGGGUGCACAAAGGUAUCAAAACAUAAAAUUGAACAAAGUGUUCUAAAUCAGGUAAUUAGAGUAAAUAGAUGUGCCUUAACUGUUGGGUAUGAAUACAAUAACCUGCUGCUUGCAGGAGAGGGGAAAAUUUUGGGGUAGAGGCAGUGUAAUAAUAAUAGAGCAUAAUAUCAAUGUUGAAGGCCACAGCAAGCUCAACUAUAUGCUUUAUUAGUUUUGCAUUGCCUCCUUCCCCAAAUUGUUCCCCUCUCCUGCAAGGUGCAUCUGAUCCAUGAAGGCUUUCUAGUAUCGCUGGCAUCAUUAUUGUAGUUAAAUCAGCAAAUAAAGCAGCUAUUAAAAUUUACAUGAUAGUUUAUAUGGUACCACACAAAUUGCACAUGUAUAUGGGAAAUUUGGUAGACUUUUUUUGGACCUUGAACCAGCAGUUAACUUUACAAUACAAUGGACUAUGCAGAAUUAUUUUAUUGUAGUGUGACGGAGCCCACAGAUCAUAGUCCUCAGUGUCCAAAAUAUUAACAAAAGAAGCCGAUGAGUGAAAUGGAUGAAAAAAAGAUUUAUUUGUUGAUGAUUUGAGUGACUUAUUUAAGGUUAAAUAAAUAUAAAAGUAAGUGUAGAUUAGUACAGUUUGUUCCUGGAGUUGUACACAUUGAAAUGUUGUGUAUUCAGUUGAGAGGAUUCAACUAAAUAAAUCGUUUAAGUAUUGUCAGAUGUGUGUUUGUUUGUAAUGAGUUAAUACAACUUAAAUGGUUUAAGGCAAUCGGUUUCCUCAAAUGAAGUAAGUAGCCACAACAAAGUUUGAAGUUGUCAGAACUAGAAUGUAAUAAUUUGA